rnacentral:rRNA from 1 species
AACGAACGCUGGCGGCGUGCUUAACACAUGCAAGUCGAACGCGAAAGUUUUCUUCGGAAGACGAGUAGAGUGGCGCACGGGUGAGUAACGCGUAAGUAAUCUGCCCUGGUAUCUGGGAUAACCCACCGAAAGGUGUGCUAAUACCGGAUACGCUGAGCAAUCAGGAAAGGUGGCCUCUUCAUGAGAGCUACUGUACCAGGAGGAGCUUGCGUACCAUUAGCUAGUUGGUAGGGUAAUGGCCUACCAAGGCAACGAUGGUUAGCGGGUCUGAGAGGAUGAUCCGCCACACUGGAACUGAAACACGGACCAGACUCCUACGGGAGGCAGCAGUGAGGAAUAUUGCGCAAUGGGGGAAACCCUGACGCAGCGACGCCGCGUGGAUGAUGAAGGCCUGGUCGUAAAGUACCUGUCAGAUGG